GUUUUGUUAUAAACGCCACAACUGUCAUAUUUUUUUACCAAAACUCCAUCGUUUUAGGUUCAUCCAAUUUAUUCCAAGUGCUCCCGAUAGCUGUUCUUCUUCCCUUUAACAAAAUUUCCCCAAUUCCCUCUUUUCUCCUUUAGUCUCUAAAUUUUUAUCCCUAGGUUCCCAACCCAUUUGCCACCUAGUGCAUCGCGCUCGACUAACCCCUCUGCUGCGUCGCCAUUGCCGUCGGUCUCUACUGCCACAGCCAAUCAGUAAAACGGCUCAAUAGUUUGGUUUCUAUUGUUGCUUCUAGGUCUGGAAAAGGGCUCCCAAUUAUCGUUAUUACACCCUAAUUAUUUUUGUUCAUUUAGUUGAAGAGUCUUUUCUUGUUCGUCCAUCAUCAUCUUACUCCUACCAUCAUCCCCCUUCUCUCCCUCUCGCGUCUCUGCAUAUCAGUUUCUUUUUCUUCUCUUUUCAUCUCAGUUCUCACCUGCUGCUGUGUCUGCUGGUUUUUUCCGAACCUGACGAGUCCGGGUAACAAAGAUUGUGAAUUAGAGUUAGUGCUCAAACAACUUUGCAUUAUUGUUAACGCACCAAAUUAUGUUCCAUUGGAUGCUUUAGUUGUUAUUUAGUUUCUAUUUGAAUGUAGCUGUCUUAAAUUUUGAACAAUUAUUGGAGCUAAUAUUUGACCCUUAAUUUUUCAUUGUCUUUUUUUUUUUAACUUGAUCAAUGUUCUUGUUUCGUUUAAGAUGCCCUUAAAUCAAUGGAUCAGAAAUGGGUUCAUGAUUUCCUUUUAGAUAUAAGGGUGAUGCCGAUAGCGCUCUUGACAGGCUUUGGCAGAAGAAGAAAGCCAAAGUCAAACAGUAGCAGUCGGGUACCUUUUUAUUACCGGUCUCUGAACUCAAGAGGGAAAAUUCUUGGCACUGACUGUUAAAUUCUAGUUUGUUUAGGUAGAUAAAGUUGAAAGUUGUUUUUGUCCAAUUUUUGAUGUUUAGUCUUUUGCAUUAGAUAUAUACACACACACACACACAUACAUACCAAUGUCAUGCUCAUACUCAGUUUUUGAUACUCACAUCUAAAUCUAUGAUAAUAUUCUUACACUCGUAGAA